rnacentral:ncRNA from 1 species
UAAAAGUUUGGUCCUGACUUUACUAUCAAUUUUUACUAAAUUUACACAUGCAAGUCUCCGCACCCCUGUGAAAAUGCCCUCAUACCCCCUAAUUAGAGGAUGAGGAGCUGGUAUCAGGCACUUAAUACAGCCCAAGACACCUUGCUAUGCCACACCCACAAGGGAACUCAGCAGUGAUAAACAUUGAAUAUUAGUGAAAGCUAGAAUCAGUUACAGUAAACAAAGCCGGUUAAUUUCGUGCCAGCCACCGCGGUUAUACGAGAGGCUUAAAUUGAUAGUCUUCGGCGUAAAGCGUGAUUAGACUCCACCAAGAAUAGGGUUAAAUUGCAACCUAGCCGUUAUACGCUUCUGCUGCAAAGAAACACACUUACGAAAGUCACCCUAAUUUAGUUGAACUCACGACCGCUAGGUCACAAACUGGGAUUAGAUACCCCACUAUGCCUAGCCUUAAACAUUGACUAAUUACAUCAAACUCCGCCUGGGAACUACGAGCGCCAGCUUAAAACCCAAAGGACUUGGCGGUGCCCCAAACCCACCUAGAGGAGCCUGUUCUAUAAUCGAUAAUCCACGAUCAACCUCACCACUUCUUGCCAAUUCCGCCUAUAUACCGCCGUCGCCAGCUUACCCUUUGAAGGCUAAAAAGUAAGUACAAUGGUAUUCACCAAAACGUCAGGUCAAGGUGUAGCGAAUGAAGUGGAAAGAAAUGGGCUACAUUUUCUAACAAUAGAACAUACGAACGAUUACUAUGAAAAAGAAUCUGAAGGCGGAUUUAGCAGUAAAAGAGAACCAUAAUGCCUCUUUUAAACUGGCCCUGGGGCGCGCACACACCGCCCGUCGCCCUCCUCAACACUACCCUAACUUAAAUAAAACACCAUAGACUCAAAGAGGAGGUAAGUCGUAACAUGGUAAGUAUACCGGAAGGUGUGCUUGGAAUAA